UACGGGGGAUGCAAGCGUUAUCCGGAUUUAUUGGGUUUAAAGGGUGCGCAGGCUGAUCGGUAAGUCAUGGGUGAACAGUCACUGCUUAACAGUGAUCGUGCCUAUGAUACUGCCGGACUGGAGUUUAAGAGGUGUAACUGGAAUGUGAUGUGUAGCGGUGAAAUGCUUAGAUAUGUCACAGAACGCCAAUCGUGAAGACAGGUUACAAACUUAAUACUGACGCUCAUGCACGAAAGCGUGGGGAUCAAACAGG
rnacentral:rRNA from 1 species